UCCCUUUAUUGUUUCUUUUCUUUUUUUUUUGCAGGGCUAUGGAUUGUAACCACAGCCUUGCUCUUGCUAGGUGAACACUCUACACCUGAGUUGCAUCCCAGCCCCACAUCCUCUUCUGGGGCAUGACACCAUUAAGAUAAAUCAAGAAUCUCUUGACUGGCAGACGUUUCAUUUUCACAGAGUGAAAUCUGUAUUCCUGUGCAGACAGAUGAAGCCAGGGACACCAUCCUGGCUCUCCUUUCGUUCCCCAUCACCUCCACCUGCCUCAACUGACUGUGAUGUGGUGCUGCUUUUAUUCUUUUUCCUUUUGAUGUAUCUAUAGUUCCAUGUUUCACACUGGGAUUACUGCAUUGGAUAGUUAUUCUUCCUGUUUCUAUCAGAUCAGUUUGAGUAAAUUUUACCCAGCCCUCUUUAAUCCACAGCUUGAUUGCAAAACCCACAAUAGGCCAGAGGGAUUCUGUAAUUUGAGUCUUAGGCCUGAAAUCAGAUGACACAGAUCCCCUCAUGGUGGUGUCCAAAGAGACUAUCUGUGCACCUUAAUGGUACUUGCUAGAUCCUCUGAAAUGACUUGGGCCCUGUCUGUUAGAAUAUUCAGUGUUUUUGUUUUUCAUGGUCCCUGAUAUCUUUAUAUUUAAUCCCUUCUUGUUUUUCUUUUUGUUUUUUAAGUUCUGUGGUUUGAGGGUCUUAACUCCAGUUAUAACUUGCAUCCAAACAACCUUGGUGAUACCUAAAUAAUUGUGCUUCUCUCCUUCUAUUCAGAGUUAAAUCUUCUUGGCUUAUUGCUACAGUAUCAUGCAUUUGGGUCUGUAGUCAUAAAUAGUCUUCAUUAUUUGUUUAGUAUUUACUUAUUGGAGAUGGUAUCUCACUACAUUGCCCAAAAUGGCCAUAAAUUCCUGGGCUCUAGCCAUCUUCCUGUCUCAGCCUCCUAAUAGCUGGGACUACAGGCAUGUGCCCCAUACCCAGAUUAAAUAACCUUUUUGAUUUUUACCUGUUUUAUUUUUACCAACCAUCUUUUACAGCGUUAUUAGUCUUUUAUUUCAUAAUUCAUAUAUUUAAUUUUAAAUUUAUAACCAGAACCAUCUUCCCUAGCUUGUGUUUCUAUAAAAUUAAAAUUGAAAGGUGAGAAAAUUCUUCUUGCCUGUGUCUUUAAGGAAACAGGUACAUCUAUUUUUGUUUUCCUCAUCUUUAUCUCUUCCUCAAGAUAAUUUUAAAAAGCAUAUUUGCCAGACGUUUGUCUCCACACUUUUGAAGAUGUGGGAAUCAAAGCUAGAGAAGAGUAGGGGCUUAUAUAAUUGUGUAUGAUCAAUUAAUAUUCAUUAGUAGUUCUGAGAACCAGGCUUUGCUGACAACCUGAACUAGGAAUAGAUCUCCCCAAGAGCAAAAUUUGUUUUUGUUUUGUUUAUUGAGAUACAGGUUACAUGUAGAAAGUGUGCAAAUAUACUAGUGUAACCUACACCCACGUCAAGUCAGAAAAUUUCCAAUGCCUCAGUCUCUUGUUUCCCUGCCAGGGAUUGAUGCCCUCAGAGGCAACCACUAUUCUAAUUCCCU
rnacentral:lncRNA from 1 species